UCCAACAUUUCCCCAGCAUUUCCUUCGCUGAUGUGGAAAGGAUGGUGGAAGAGAAAUCGGUGACAAAAAAGUCAAAGAUGAAGAAAGGAUACAAGUUUUUCCACGAAAACUUCAUAGAAAAACACGAAGAUGACGCUUGCUGUUGACAGUGGACGUCUGAUGGCGUUUUCCUGUAGCUGUGCAGCAGGAAGAGGGUUUUUCAACCACACUGUGGCCCUGCUUCAUCAGACAGCGCAUUAUACACAGUAUGGCCUGCAGACUGUCCUCCAUCUCUGGCCUGCACAAGCAGUCUACAGCAAUGGCAUAGAGCAAGAACUCAGUGAAUUCAUCCAGAACCUGUGAGUGAUGUGGUGGUGCGAAAGCCAACAGCAGC